AUGGGCGCAAGCCUGAUGCAGCAACGCCGCGUGAGGGAUGACGGCCUUCGGGUUGUAAACCUCUUUUAGUAGGGAAGAAGCGAAAGUGACGGUACCUGCAGAAAAAGCACCGGCUAACUACGUGCCAGCAGCCGCGGUAAUACGUAGGGUGCGAGCGUUGUCCGGAAUUAUUGGGCGUAAAGAGCUCGUAGGCGGUCUGUCGCGUCUGCUGUGAAAACCCGAGGCUCAACCUCGGGCCUGCAGUGGGUACGGGCAGACUAGAGUGCGGUAGGGGAGAAUGGAAUUCCUGGUGUAGCGGUGGAAUGCGCAGAUAUCAGGAGGAACACCGAUGGCGAAGGCAGUUCUCUGGGCCGUAACUGACGCUGAGGAGCGAAAGCGUGGGGAGCGAACAGGAUUAGAUACCCUGGUAGUCCACGCCGUAAACGUUGGGCGCUAGAUGUGGGGACCAUUCCACGGUUUCCGUGUCGCAGCUAACGCAUUAAGCGCCCCGCCUGGGGAGUACGGCCGCAAGGCUAAAACUCAAAGGAAUUGACGGGGGCCCGCACAAGCGGCGGAGCAUGCGGAUUAAUUCGAUGCAACGCGAAGAACCUUACCAAGGCUUGACAUACACGAGAACGCCCUAGAAAUAGGGAACUCUUUGGACACUCGUGAACAGGUGGUGCAUGGUUGUCGUCAGCUCGUGUCGUGAGAUGUUGGGUUAAGUCCCGCAACGAGCGCAACCCUCGUUCUAUGUUGCCAGCGCGUAAUGGCGGGAACUCAUAGGAGACUGCCGGGGUCAACUCGGAGGAAGGUGGGGAUGACGUCAAAUCAUCAUGCCCCUUAUGUCUUGGGCUUCACGCAUGCUACAAUGGCCGGUACAAAGGGCUGCAAUACCGUAAGGUGGAGCGAAUCCCAAAAAGCCGGUCUCAGUUCGGAUUGAGGUCUGCAACUCGACCUCAUGAAGUCGGAGUCGCUAGUAAUCGCAGAUCAGCAACGCUGCGGUGAAUACGUUCCCGGGCCUUGUACACACCGCCCGUCAAGUCAUGAAAGUCGGUAACACCCGAAGCCGGU
rnacentral:rRNA from 1 species